rnacentral:rRNA from 1 species
GGGUAGGCGUAGGCGGCUGAUUAAGUCAGCGGUGAAAGGUAGCAGCUUAACUGUUUUACAUGCCGUUGAUACUGGUUAGCUUGAGUUGACAGAAGGCAGAUAGAAUUCCUGGUGUAGCGGUGAAAUGCUUAGAUACCAGGAGGAAUACCGAUUGCGAAGGCAGUCUGCUGCAGUCACACUGACGCUGAGGCUCGAAGGUGCGGGGAUCAAACAGGAUUAGAUACCCGUGU